CAACCCCAUUUACAUAUCUCUUCUAUUUUAUCCCCCAAUACAGAGUGUCCCAGUCAUUUUCUUUGUUUUUGUUACCAUCAUACUUAUAAAUGUGUGUUUAUGUGUAUGUAUAAUAAUAAUAACCACCAAUGACAAUGGUUUGACGUGUUUGUCACUUGGCAAAGAUUCCUUGUGACUGAGUAAAUAUAUUUUCUUUUUUAUAUAUUUAAAAGAAAUAUUUGCUUUGGAAAGGUUUUGUAGGAUAACAAUUUGUUGUCCUUCCAGAGGUUCCUGUUACAAACAAAGUUGUAGCUGAGAAAGACUGGAAAACUUGUAUCUAAAACAUUGUCAUUGUUUGCCUGUUUGUUUUUGGAGAAAUUACUGUAUGAAAUAGUUUUGUUACUGAAUGCUAACAAGUGCUCAAUGAAUGCAAAAAUCAGAUUUUGUUUUUUCUGGGACACUCUGUAUGUCAGUGUCAGAGUUCAAACGUUUGUAUAAAAUUUUCAACAAAUCCUGACCAUCAAAAUCAUUUCAAAUGGCAUAAGACUUCACAUAAAGUACAAACAUAAAGAUUACUUUUCAUGAAACUUGCAUUUUUGAAAUGUUGUUUAGAUAUAUGUAUUUCAUAUAUCUAAAUCUUGAUUAGCUAUCAUGACAAAUCCAAAGGUUACCAUAUUGUUGAAAAUGUUCAGACGUAUGAACUCUACCUCUCAUGUGAGGACUUUGCAAUAAUGGUGUCAGUUGGACUUCAAACAUAACACCGAGAAUAAAAUCCCAAAUAAAUAAAAUAUUGCCUAGUGGAAAUUUGUACUGUUUAACAAAAAAAAAAAAAGAAAGAAAAGGAUGAACACAUUUCAUUGAAUGCCUCAUCAGUAUGAUUGGUUAAUUUAAAGAUUAACUUUGUAUCUUGAUGUUAUACAUGAAGUCCAUGUCUAAACCCAUUCACUAAUCUGAGGAAAGAAGAAAUCAUGAGACUGUCAUGAUGUCCAGAGGAAAUGAAAUGACAGAGAACUUUCACCAAAAAUUUAUAUUGUAUAGUGGACUGUUGCAAAGAUAAACAUAAAGACAGGUAGAAAACUUUAGGGGAUAUGAAACCUAAUUAGCACAAAUUUUGUGUGUGUGUGUGUGUGUGUGUAUUUAUCCAUUAAUCUACGUUUUUAUUAGUAACCUAGGUAGCUGCUUGUGAAGGUUCUCUGUUGUUCCAUUCCCUUAGUAUUAAGUUAAAGAAAUAAUUCUAACAUUGUUCAGCCAGUAUGUUUGUCAUCAUCCAGAUGUAAUUGGCAAUAAAUUUUUAUUGGUCCUAGCUGUUUUUAUUAAGAGGUUUCAACAAAAGUCUUUAGUUUUACCAUUUUUCUUGGUUUGUUAUUAAAAGCAUAGAUGUUAUAUAGAGGAAAAUAUAAUAAGUUGACAAUCUCACUGGCUGAACUAACUGGAAGUGUGGGUACAUACAGUUUGAGGCAGCUUCAUUCUAUUGUACAUGAGAUAAAAGUAAAGCUGGUUAAAGUUUAAGUAGUGAAACGACCAACAUUGUUGAUAUGAUGGGAUUUCUGAAAAACUAAUCCACUCAAUCAUUCAUGGCAACUUUAUGGUGCUUUUCUCCUGAAUGAUCAAAUUGCAUAAUCAUUCAAUUUUGACACUCUUCAAUUUGUUAGAGCUUUGGCGGGAAAUUGUUGGAGCGCAUCACAAGACACCUGACUAGGGUCACCGUGACAAUUGUAUGUUCCAGUGGGCCUAGUCUUCAUCGUGGAGCAGCGAGUAACCAGGUCAAGACACGUGGAAUCAUCCGCGUGAGCCACAAUCAGCUGCCACAAGUGUAGUUGGUAGGGCUGUAGCAAAGGAAAUUAAGCUUACUUUAAAUUCUUUUACAUUCAUUCACCUUCAGUACUAUCUAACUGCCAUGUGAACGAGCACUGGUGACUUCUUCUUGGUCUAUUCAGUUUUAAAUUGUUGGAGGUUUAUCAAUCAACAGAGCUAUAGAUAAACAUCGUUUUUAUUAUGAGUAAGACAUAAUAAAUCUUUAAAUGUGAUAAUUGACAGCAAUUUGAUAAAUAUUUAAAGCACACUCUUAAUUUAAAAACUUCAAAUUGGUAUCAAGAAGAAGACCUCUGUGACCAUUCUUAAUGGUAGACAUGACAGUUUUUUCUUUCACUGGACAUAACUAUUUCAAUGGCUUUAACAUUCAAUGGUAUUUAACAAUUAAAGUAACAACCAAGGUAUUGAACAGAAUGACAUCAUUCACACAUUGAACUUAUAUUUUCUGAAUGAAAAUUGCAUCAAAAAAGUGGGCAUUCUUUAUGUAGAUUAGUAAAACUUUUUUUUUUUAUAUAUAUAAGUUCCUUUUACUAACAGUAGACUAAACUUUCGAACCUAUUUUUUGUACUUAAAGGUGAACUAAGAUGUAAAGUAUCAAUACAAUAUGAUUACUACUUUCAGAUAGUGUCAUUAUCAGAACUAUUAGUUUAAAUAUUCUAUUCUAAAUCUACAAAUUAUAACUAUAUUGCAUAAUCAAAGAUAAAAUACCUUCGAAAGUUUAGGUGGUAUUUUCUUGGAAACUUAUGUAUUUGUCUGUGUCCAGACAUUGACAUGCUUGCUCUUCUGUAUUGUUUGUUUUUUAAAUUCUGUUUUCCCACCAUUUAGUUUUUAUUAUGCUUAAUUUAGAAUUUUGUUUGCGAGACUGAAAUGGUCAUGAAAAUAUUCAUUAAAAAGGUUGAAUUGAACAUGCAUAUUUUAUUUGUGAGAUCUCUUGAAAUUAUUGAGUGUGUGUGUGUUUGUUUAUGUUGGUUGAGAAACUCAGAUUUCUGUGAACCAGUUCAAGCUUGGUUGGUGAAAACUCAUUGAUAAGUUUCGAAAUCCCUGUGAGAAAAUAUUAAACUUUUCUUUUUUUCAGCUUAAAAACAGUUUUCAUAAAAUAACUAGCAACACUAAUAGAAUAUUAGUUCCUGCAUAAAACUUGUAUAAUGAAUGUAAGUUUAGUUAUUUUAGUUUAUUAAAAUCCUGGAAUUGCUUAUGUGAUUCAGAAUCUCGUAUGUUCAAGCAUAUAAUAGUUGUAUCUGUUAUCAAUAAGUCAAUGACUAUGAAUUAAACAUUCAUAUUCAGUUAUUUAUUAAAUGUAAGAUGAGAACUGGGAGAAAAAAAGACUAAGACAUGGUAUAAAAAUAAGAUCUGAGAGAUUUGAUGAAAGUAAUUAAUUAAAUAACUGAAACUGAACUUAAUUUUACUGCAAACACUGAUUCCCAUUUACCCUCUAAAUGAUGCUAAUAAUAAAU